AGUUUCAGAAUUCAUAGCCGAACUGCAAAAUCAAAAUCAAAUAAAACCACAAAAGGAUAAAGCUUUCAUUGAAACAAAAAUAAAUCCCAAUCAUAAUUAGAGCUCAAAAACGAUACAAAGGAAUCAAUUUUACAAAUUGCGGAUCAAAAGUAACCAACUUUACCAAAACCCAAUCAACAAAAAUCAUUUUUUAUUUCAAUUAGAAGCAAAAGCCAAAAAUCAAAAGAAUCGGAGAAAAAUUACCAAACGAUGCCAUAAGCACCCUUG